ensembl:lncRNA
GCUGCCGACCGGCAGGGAGUUGAACCUUCAAAGUUCCACUAGGUGGCGAGGUUGAGUGACAGGCGACGCCUUGGUUCAGUAACAACUGGACUGCGGUGGCAGCAUUGUCGUUGUGAAAUGUGAGCCCGCGUCCUGCCUUCAGUCGAAUAAGGGCCUUAGAAAAAGAGUGGAACAGAAAUGAAUGUAGGAAGAGUGAGAGUGUCAUCGCGAAAAGGAUCCGCUGCCUGGAUCCUUUGUAUGCAGAAGUCAUAAUGGAGUACAAGCCGUCGGGAGCUCGGGAGGAUAUCGUCCACAACAGGAACAGUGUGGCACAAACAGGAAGUCCCACAUACUAACCUUCCUCUGCGGGUCGAGCUGACACAAAAGCACUGGUAAAUAAUUGCGUGUUUGUGAGGGAAAGAAUCUGACAGUUCGCAUCAGCACAAAGGGGCUUUAAACUGCCGAAACUCAAAUAUUGCUGCCAUUUGUAGUCCACUUCUAUUUUGAGUCCGUAAUCUACUUUGCAGUUGUACGGCUCAUAAUAACAAU